rnacentral:sRNA from 1 species
UAUUUUGCCACAUGUGUAUGUCCAUAAAAUGCAAACAAACAACCUAAUUCAAGUCCUUUUUCAGCUAAUAAAUCUCUUGUUCGAUUGACUUGAUAUAAAUGUCCAUGAGUAUAAAAUGCUUUCACGUCAUUAUAUUUUGCGACCGCUUCAUUUUCAAAUUCUGGGUAAAAAUCACAAUUGCCUUUUACUCUAUUAAAUAAGCUAAGUUCCGU